rnacentral:rRNA from 1 species
CAGUCGCCGCGGUAAUACCGAGGUCUCAAGCGUUGUUCGGAUUCAUUGGGCGUAAAGGGAGCGUAGGCGGUCGGGUAAGUUGGAUGUGAAAUCCUGGGGCUCAACCUCAGAACUGCAUUCAAUACUGCUUGGCUAGAGUACUGGAGAGGUGAGUGGAAUUCACGGUGUAGCAGUGAAAUGCGUAGAUAUCGUGAGGAAGACCAGCGGCGAAGGCGGCUCACUGGACAGUUACUGACGCUGAUGCUCGAAGGCCAGGGGAGCAAAUGGGAUUAGAUACCCCAGUAGUCCCUGUCUCUUAUAA